ensembl:lncRNA
CUAGAACAAUAGAGAAUCACAGCCCUGGGCUGUCUUUGCCUGACUGCUCCUGCUGUCUCUUCCUUCCCACUAGCUCCAUAGAUGGUGCUUUCUUUUCCUGUCCAGCCCAUGCCAGGAAGCAUCAGUGCUCCAUCUUCCACCACUGUCAUCAGGACACAAGAGAAAGCCUUGGUUCAUACCUCUACAUGGAUGAGUCAAAACCUAGACUUCAAGUGCAACUUCUCUGAGCACCAGACAGACACUCUCUACAGCCUGGGGAAUUUCUCAGGUGGGCUGUCCAGAAGGUUUCCCAGACAAUGGGAAUUUUUAAUAAGGAGCUCCCUGGAGAUGGGGGUGGGGUGAGGAAAAGGAGGAGAAAAGAAUCCAGGUACCUGAGGGGUACUGUAGACAUUAAACCAAUUUACUCUUUUUUCUGUUUAACUUGAGGGGUGAUUCAGGGGGCUCAAGGAAUUGUGAGCUUGUUUUGAAGAAAAAAAGGAUAUCUUUGGGGAGGUUGUGAUCACCAAAUGGCCAGCUCUGAGCAGCCCUGGAAGCCCGGAAGUCAGAUUCCUCAGGGGUCUAUUGGGGGCGACCCAAUUGUUUCCCUGAAGCUCCUCCUGCCAAGUCUCUCAUUCCAUAAAACCUCCCUGUUUCUGUUCUUAUGGAGGUGGAUUUGAGGGAAACCAGGCUCCCACAGAUUCUUUUUGACAAUUUGAGUAAAUAUUUCUCCACUUCUAACCACCAAAGUCUCAGUGUUGGCUUCCUGUGCAUCGGGCACAGAAACUUGAGAUUAAGAGGUUCGGUAUCAAUUUUGGCAAGCCAGUCAGGAGUCUUGUGCCCAUGGCUGGAUGGCCCUUGUGAGGGUUUCAGUGGUUGGUGGUCCCCAGGGGCUGGGGGGAAGUCUUUGCCUGGGGGCUUCCCUUGCUGUUCCUCCCUUCCUGCCAGUGUCUGCUGCCCUAGGCACAAUUCUCCCUUGGAGUGGAGAAACAUGUUGGACUUCAGUCUUUGUGUGUGAGUGUGCUUUUGUCUUGUAUACGAGUCUGUUGUCAGUUGAGUUGCUGUGACACGUGCAGUGGUGAAUCUCCUGUCUCUCUAUUUGCAUUCUGUGUGAAUGAUUCAUUGGAAAGGAGGGUCUCUCAUUUGGGAGAGAUCCAGGGGAUGUGUGUCGGACUUCAUCAUCUAUUUUUGUCCUGCAGGAAUUGGUUUUGCCUGUCAGGUGAGUGACCAUGAGAAGUGCGGUCAUGAAUACCCCAUCUUUCCAUUUGCAUCUGUGUGAGAAGUGGGCCCCUCAUUUUGGAGAGAUCCAGGGGAGUGUUGGACCUCACCUUGUGUUUUGUCCUGCUGGAGUCUGUUUGCCAUUUGCUCAGUGAGUCAAUACAGCACUCCCAGUCAUCAGUCUCUGUAUCUCUAUUUGCAUUUUGAAUGUGUGAAAGCAGGGACCCUCAUUUGGAAGAGAUCCAGGGCAUUGUUAGACUUCACCUUUUGUUUUUGACCUGCAGGAGUAGGAUUUGUCUUUGUGUGGGUGCGUUUGUCUUGUGUGUGUGUACGUGUAUUUGUUGGGUUCACUAAAAUGAAAAUGUCCUCAGAGAUAUUGGUAGUGGUGGUGGUCACAGGGGUAGGCAGCACACAUUGGAAGGCAGUGAGGAGGAUGGAGUGGGGCAUCCCCAUGCUCCCUGCUCCUUCAUGGCAGCAGCGGUGGCCCCAACAGCAGUAGUGAUGGUCAUGGUGUCCUGAUGGCAGAUGGGCUCCUUUUUGCUCAACCCAGCCUGGCUCGGCCCAGGGGUCAUGAGCAGUGGCAGUGGCAGCAGUGGCAGGAGAGGCUGGGUGCCCAGUCACUUUCCUGUGGGAUGGCUGGAGACAGAAAAAAUAAGUCCCUGGGUCAAAAUUUCACGGGCCUAAUGCGAAGGCUGUGCUGGGGACUAACCCUGAGUGGAAUCACAAUAACCCUGAUGAUCAAGAAAAGCUAGAAUAUUUUGGGAGUCUGCUUUUGAAAGCCACACAUGUAGUAAGCCAGCCAUCUAUUAACUGGUCUAAAUUAGGAGAGGUCCAGCAAGGCCCUGAGGACAACCCUUCUGCCUUUUUCUCCCAGAGGCUGUGGGACUGCCUUAUACUAUAUACCCUGAGGCCCAGGGAAGUACAGUUAAUACCUAUUGUUGGGGUCCAGGAAAGGCCACCCCAAAAUAUGCCACAAUGACUUAUUGAUUAUUUUGAUUUAAAGUUACUUGUGGAGCAAAAAGGGCUUUCUGUGCCUACUGUCUCUUCUCCUGAAAGCAGGAAAUGAAUCUCCCAUGAGAAAGGUGUUCUCCCUGCAUCCUUAUCACCAGAGCUAGGGGAUUGAGGGCCGAGAAGCCUGCAUAAACAAACCUUACUAAUUUACUGUUUCAUGCUAAAUUCCCCACUAUUUACAUGCUCCACACCUAAGUUUCUUUGCUCUGUCGAUUUUCAACAAUUUUAUGUUUCUUGGUGUAAAAGAUAUAUAUACUGCCUGUUUUGUUCACUCUCUGAGCAACGUUUCUUUAUGGUCUCCAAAAGGUAUGCAUUAAACUGGAUUUUUCUUCUGUUAACCUGGUCUUAUGUCAGUUUUACUAUUAAUCUGGCCAUAGGAACCUAAGAAGGGAAGAAAAGGGAUUUUCCCUGUCCUGACACUAUGUCAUAUCUUAAGGCGCUCCAGAUAUCCAUGGGGAAACUCCAAAAGUUGGCUAUAGUUCCUGAUGACAUAAAAGAGGUAUCAGGAAAAGGAGAGACCAAAAGAUUUCUGGAGCCCUUGACCUGUGAAAUAGGAUCUCAACAAGAGGCAUUCUUUUCUGUAUGUACCAGACUGUCCUGUUCCCCCUCUAGAGAGGGACAUGCUAUCUAAGUUAGGGGUCCUAAUAUGCUGGAACAAGAUAGAGGUCCAAGCCCCUAAAAGUUGGGGAAUUGAGCUCAUGGCCUUAUUGGAAGAUACACCAGUGCCUGAUAGAGAAGAGGUUCCCCUAUCAUUGGCCCUGGUGAAACAGUACCCCUUGAAGCCAGAAGACAUAAGAGGACUCCCUCCCUUUAAUCAAUACACUUUUAGAACAGGGAUUGAUCAGGAGAUUCCCAUGGAACACACCCAUUUCAGCCAUUAAAAGGCUGGAAACAAGGGAAUAUAGAUUUGUUGAAGGCAUUAUGGCUGUCAAUGCUAUACAGUGCCAGAUUCAAAAGAUGCUUUUGGAUCCUCAACCCCUCCCACCACCAAGUGAUGUCUGGUCACCAUUCCUUGCCUUCAGCAGGGAAUUCUGAGGUUGGUGUGAUAUUGUGAUUUAUAGUAAAAAAAAAAAAAUACCCUCAUUUCAUUUCUGGCACAGAGCUCCUAAAACCCUUGUAAUUUCUGAUAUAAGAGCCAUGGGGCAUCUUUUGUUAUAACAAUUACUUUUGUCCUCAGUUCCUGAAAUAACUGCAGGUUAAUAAUGGUAACAUUGGUGUCUUUUGUUAUCCAGAAGAAGUCCCUGUCAACCACACCUGAACUUAUGUAAAUAAGAUGACUUUUGGAAAGCCCUUAAGGGUGGGGGCUGUUAGCCAGGGGAACCAAUUGUGUGAUUAGAGGGUUGGAAAUUUCAGCCCCAUGCCCCUCCUUAUACCUCUGAGGUGGGGAGAGGGGCUCAGGAUUGAGUUCAAUAUGGAGUUCAGGGAGCUUCUGAGUUGCAAACAUGGGAGACUCAGGGAGACUGGCACACUCAGAGAGAGCUUGGGAACUCCACAUCCCUCUCUCACAUAUCGUGCUCGAUGCAUCUCUUUGGUCUGGCUGUUAAGUAAAAUGUUUUCCUGAGUUCUGUGAGCUGCUCUAUAAAAAUAGUUUAAUGAAAUCCAAAGGAGGGUGUUCAUGGAAACCUCUGGUCUGUGGCAGUUUGGUCAGAAGGAUGGGUGACAACCUGGACUUGCAAUCGGCAUCUAAAAUGGAAGGCAAGGGGUAAUCUUGUAGGAUCUGAUGCUAUCUCUAGGUAGAUAGUGUCACAAAUAGUGACAAAUACUGUUAAAUACUUAGGUUUUGAACUGUCAGAAGCCCAGAGAAUCCUGCUCCCAGACAGGAGAGAAGCAAUCACUUGAGUUGGAACUCCUACUACCCAUCAAUAAUUGUGGGGAUGUUUUUUAGGAAUGUCAGGCUUCUGUCAAAUUUGGAUAGUCAGCUUUAGAUUAAUGUUGAAAUCUCUAUUUGAGGACUUAAUGGGAGGAGACCUCGAACCUUUGAUGUGGACAUGAGAGUGCCGGAAUUUGUUUGUCAGGGAAGUGGGAGAAUUCCCCCUGACUUUUACUUAGGGUUCUUACGGCUGGUAAAAUAACUAAAAAGGAAGGUGAGCAGGAGAAAAAUCAAACAAAGUUUAAUAGCAUGUAUACAUGGGAGAAACCCAGGAGAAACUGAGUAACUCAGCCAACUGAGUUAAAGAGGCUGAGGCUGCCUGUUUAAAUAUCUUAAGCUACAGAUAAGGACGAUAUUUGGGGUAGUGAUUUGGGGCUUCAAAGGAGAGGAAGACAACUCACAUGGAAAUGGAAAAGUAAAUGGUAAAUAAGACUUUGAUAACAGUGGGCCUAGCAAGGAUCUUUCCAGUCUACCAAAACCCAGAGCUAACUAUGGUGAUGGACAGGCCUUCAUUUUAAAUUUCUUUUAGGCAGUUGGGGGGAAAUGUCGAAUGUUCUUCCUGAGUUUGAGCCUUUAUUGUCUUCAGAUUGAAAUAAUCCUCAUACCAGAAUGACACAUCUUGGGACGGCCUGCCCUGAACCCCAUCAAGUACAAUCAAGUUAAAGAAAAAUUAUUUAACUGCCCCAGCCUUGGGACUCCCAGAUUUGAGAAAGCCCUUUGAUUUCUUUGUAAAGGAAAAACAGGGCCUCUGUCUGUGACUCCUGACUCAGAACCUUGGACUCACCAGGAGGCCUGUGGCCUAUUUUACUAAGCAGUCAGAUCAGAUGGUCAAAGGAUAGCUGUCUUGCCUCUGAGCCAUUGCCACCAUCUGUAACAUAGUACAAGAAGCUGAAAAAUUCACAUUGGCACAGGCCACAAUGGCGCACACUCCCCAUUGUGUCCUCCCUCUAUGAGUCCUCUAAGAAAAGAACAGAAUGGAGGAUCUUGGCUAACCUCAGGAUCAGCCUACUUUAUGAGACAACCCAGAAGUAAAGUUAAAUGCUAUUUCUACCUUAAAACCUGCAACACUUCUACCUACUGAGUCAACAAGACCCCUUUCAUGAUGAGUGACUUCAGAUCAUUGAACAGGUAUUCUAGAGUUGACCUGAUUUGACUGUCCAACUGUUGGAGCAGUUGGACUUGGGACUGUUCACUGAUGGAAGCAGCUUCUUGGAUGAGGGCAACAUCAAGCAGGGCAUGUAGUUGUCACCCUUCAGGACACCAUGGAAGCAAAGGCUUUGCCUCCAGGUGUUUCAUCUCAGGAGGCUGAGCUAAUAGCCCUAAAUAAAGUUCUUCAAAUAGGUAAAGACACAAGAGCACAGACUCAAAAUAUGCCUUUUUAGUGGUCCAUGCCCCUGGGGCCAUAUGGAAAGAGAGGGGUCUCUUGACUGUUGGAAAGAGGGACAUAAAAUAUUCCCAGGAAAUAUUGACCUUAUUAGAGGCUAUUAAUGACCCAUGGCAGUAGCCAUCAUGUACUGCCCUCCACAUCAGAAAGGGGACACUUUGGAAGCCCGACGUAAUCAACUGGCUGAUCAGGCAGUGAAGACUGCUGUUAGCACUAUGAGUUUCAGGGCACUCUUGGGUCCCUUAGUUCCCCAAAUUGACAUUGCUAAAUUCCAGCAUAGCUACACACAGAAAGAUUUAGAGAGAGCCAGAGCAUGGAGAUUUGACUCCUCAUCUGUGGAGUAUCCAGGAUAUAAAUGUAAGUCAGAAAGACUCAUCUUGGUAUCUGAAGCCCUUCUGGGAGAAAGUGUGAAUCAAAUGCAUCAGAGCACUCACUAUGGAAAGGAGGCCACCUUGCAGUGGAUCAAGGAGGUGGUUUGUUCUAACUUGCAAAGAAACAUUCAGAAAGUUACUAAAAAUGUGUGAUCUGUGCCAAAAACAAUCCCAGGACAGGGCUGCUCUCCUUGAAUAAUGGGGUUCAACAUUCACGAGUUUUCCCCUGUGAGGACUUGCAACUGGAAUUUAACAUGAUGCCUUGAGCCUCUAGGAAAGCCAAGUAACUAGAGUACUCAUAGACACCUUCACAGUGUGGGUUGAAGUAUUCCCGUCCAAAACAGGGAGGGACACCAAAGUGACCAAGGAUUCCCAAAAGGAGAUCAUUCCAGGGACAAAAUUCCACUGUCAAUCCAGAACGACAACAGCACUGAAUUUAUCUAAAUCAUUCUGGCAUGGACCACUGUGCUUAAGGGGAAGAUGGAGGCAUUUGGAGUGAGCAGGGUUGGAAAGACGCAAAUGUGGCAGAAGGAGAAGUUCUACAGGGGUGAGAUGAGGGAUGGAAAGAAAUGGCAUUACAGCCGCCUUUGUAGGAGACGUUCCCGGUCAGCUGUAAGAGCAUGGUGCAAAGCGAGUUCUUUCUCAGCUUGACAAAGAGCUGCAAGCAAGAUGGUUUGUGGCCUGUCUCCCUUUCAGGAAUCAAGGCAGUGCUUUGUGCCUUCCAUCUCUAGAGCACUGUCCGAGACAGCUGAGAGUAGAAGCUCUAAUUCAGCAAGAUCAGGGCUAGAAAGAAACUGCGUCUCACAGGCCUUUGUAAGAGAUGUUCCCAGGAGGCUGUAAGAGCACUGUGGAGAUUGAGUUGUUUAUCAGCUUACCAAAGAGCUGGAAGCAAGACCAUUUGUGGCUUGUCUUCCUUUGAGGGACUGAGUCAGUGCUUUGUGACUUCCACCUCUAGGGCAAUGGAGGACAUGGCUUUGAGCAGAAGUUCUACGGUGGUGAGAUCAGGGCUGGAAAUAAACUGCGUUUCAGGCCUUUGUAUGACGGGUUCCCGGUAGGCUGUAAGAGCACUGUGGAAAGCGAGUUCUUUCUCAGCUUGCCAAAGAGCUGGAAGCAAGACGGCUUGUGGCCUGUCUCCCCUUGAGGAAACAAGGCAGGACUUUGUGCCUUGCAUGCCUACAGCAAUGUAGGACACGGCAAAGCAGAGGUUCUACUUCAGCGACAUCAGGUCUGGAAAGAAACUGCGUUCCACAGGCCUUUGUAAGAGAUGUUACCGGGAGGCUGUAAGAGCCCUGUGGAGAGCGAGUUGUUUCUUACCUUCCGAAAGACCUGGAAGAAAGACCAUUUGAGGCUUGUUUCCCUUUGAGGCACUGAUUCAGUUCUUUGUUCCUUCCACCUGUAGGGCAAUGGAGGACAUGGCUCAGAGCAGAAGUUCUAAGAAUGCUAGAUCAGGGCUGGAAACUAACUGCCUUUCAGGCCUUUGUAUGACAGGUGCCCUGCAGGCAUUAAGAGCACUGUGGAAAGCAAUUUCUUUCUCGGCUUGCCAAAGAGAUGGAAGCAAGAUGGUUUGUGGCCGCUCUCCCUUUGGAGAAAAGAGGCAGUUCCUUUUCCCUUCCACCCCUAGGAAAGUGCAUGACACGGCAGAGGAGAAGUUCUAAUUCAGUGAGAUCAGGGCUGGAAAGAAACUGCAUUUCACAGACAUUUGUAAGACAUGUUCCCAGGACGCUGUAAGAGCACUGUGGAGAGCGAGCUGUUUCUUAGCUUCCCAAAGAGCUGGAAGUAAGAUCAUUUGUGGCUUGUCUCCUUUUGAGGCACUCACUCAGUGGUUUGUGCCUUGCACCUCUAGAGCAAUGGAGGACAUGGCUUAGAGCAGAAGCUCUAAGGCGACGAGAUCAGGGCUGGAAACAAACUGCAUUUCAGGCCUUUAUAUGACAGGUUCCUGGUAGUCUGUAAGAGCACUGAGGAAAGCGAGUUCUUUCUCGGCUUGCCAAAGAGCUGGAAGCAAGACGGUUUGGGUCCUGUCUCCCCUUGAGGAGACAAGGCAGGACUUUGUCCCUUGCAGCUCUAGGGCCAUGUAGGACACAGCAGAGCAGAAGUUCUACUACAGCGAGAUCAGGCCUGGGAAGAAACUGCAUUUCACAGCCCUUUGUAAGAGAUGUUCCCGGUAGGCUGUAAGAGCACUGCGGAGAGCGAGUUGUUUCUUAGCUGCCCAGAGAGCUGGAACCGGCACGCUGAGGGACUUGUCCCCCAUUGUGGAAACAAGGCAGGACUUUCUGCCUUGCAGCUCUUGGGCCAUGUAGGACACGGCAGAGCAGAAGUUCUACUUCAGUGAGAUCAGGCCUGGGAAGAAAUUGCGUCUCACAGGCCUUUGUAAGACACGUUCCCGGUAGGCUUUAAGAGCCCUGUGCAGAGCGAGUUGUUUCUUAGACUGCAAAAGAGCUGGAAGCCGGACGCUGUGGGGCCUGUCUGCCCUUGAAGACACAGCAGAGGACUUUGUCCCUUUCAGCUCUGGCCCAUGUAGGACACGGCAGAGCAGAAGUUCUACUUCAGUGAGAUCAGGCCUGGGAAGAAAUUGCGUCUCACAGGCCUUUGUAAGACACGUUCCCGGUAGGCUUUAAGAGCCCUGUGCAGAGCGAGUUGUUUGUUAGACUGCAAAAGAGCUGGAAGCCGGACGCUGUGGGGCCUGUCUGCCCUUGAGGACACAAGACAGGACUUUGUCCCUUUUAGCUCUAGGCCCAUGUAGGACACGGCAGAGCAGAAGUUCUACUUCACCGAGAUCAGGCCUGGGAAGAAACUGCGUUUCACAGGCCUUUGUAGGACAUGUUCCCAGUAGGCUGUAAAACACCAGUGCAGAGCGAGCAGUUUCUUAGCUGCCCAAAGAGAUGGAAGCCUGACGCUGUGGGGCCUCUCUGCCCUUGAGGACACAAGGCUGGACUUUCUCCCUUUGAGCUCUAGGCCCAUGUAGGACACGGCAGAGCUGAACUUCUGCUUCAGCGAGAUCAGGCCUGGGAAGAAACUGCGUUUCGCAGGCCUUUCUCAACAUGUUCCUGGUAGGCUUGUAGGAGCCCUGUGCAGAGCGAGUUGUUUCUUAGCUGCCCAAAGAGCUGGAAGCCGGACGCUGAGGGACUUGCCUCCCCUUGUGGAAACAAGGCAGGACUUUGUGAAUUGCAGCUCUAGGGUCAAAUAGGACACGGCAGAGCAGAAGUUCUACUUCAGCGAGAUCAGGCCUGGGAAGAAACUGCGUCUCACAGGCCUUUGUAAGACAUGUUCCCGGUAGGCUUUAAGAGCCCUGUGCAGAGCGAGUUGUUUCUUAGACUGCAAAAGAGCUGGAAGCCGGACGCUGUGGGGCCUGUCUGCCCUUGAAGACACAAGACAGGACUUUGUCCCUUUCAGCUCUAGGCCCAUGUAGGACACGGCAGAGCAGAAGUUCUACUUCAGCGAGAUCAGGCCUGGGAAGAAACUGCGUCUCACAGGCCUUUGUAAGACAUGUUCCCGGUAGGCUUUAGGAGCCCUGUGCAGAGCGAGUUGUUUCUUAGCCUUCCAAAGAGCUGGAAGCCGGAUGCUGUGGGACCAGUCUGCCCUUGAGGACACAAGACAGGACUUUGUCCCUUUCAGCUCUAGGCCCAUGCAGGACACGGCAGAGCAGAAGUUCUACUUCAGCGAGAUCAGGUCUGGGAAGAAACUGCGUUUCACAGGCCUUUGUAAGACAUGUUCCCGGUAGGCUGUAAAAGCGU